rnacentral:lncRNA from 1 species
AAAUAAAAGCAUAUUUAUAUUAAAUAUGACUCAAAAACUUAUGGAAUAAAAAACAAAUUAUUUAAAUAAAAUACUUUUUGUAUACUAUAUAAGUUUCCUCCACAAACAAACUGGCAGCAACACAGGCAGGUUUCAGUGGACACGAGCACAACAGUAUCCAUUUUGACCAACGUGGGUCGACCGCCUCUGACCAAACGCACACACGAAGGUUCCCGGAUCCUACUUGUGGUCCCUGGGCCCACCGAAAAACGCAGACCCUUCGCUAUAUAUAGAACUCGCUCCACGACCAAGAAAUCCUCACAACCACUAGAGAUCUUCAUGUAUAAACAUACAUAAAGCAACGAGGGAGAGAGAGAUCAGGAGGAAGAUAGAGAGCUUACUUUUGGCUUCCAGUUGAGCGAAGACACACUUACCAUUAGUUAGUCCAGCGGAGAAGACGACCAUGGGGAGGACAAGAGACGCCGAAGCGGAGCUCAAUUUGCCGCCGGGGUUCCGGUUCCACCCCACAGACGAGGAGCUCGUUGUGCACUAUCUCUGCCGCAAGACCGCCUGCCAGUGCCAGCCUGUGCCCAUCAUCGCCGAGAUCGAUCUCUACAAGUACGAGCCUUGGGAACUUCCAGGUACUGCACACAUGAAAUAAUAGAGGAAACAGUUCAUGUUACACUAUCUACUGCGCAAUAUGAAACCUUGACAUGGCUGUAAUGCUUGUGCUGUGAGCAGAUAAGGCGUUGUUUGGGAACAGAGAGUGGUACUUCUUCACCCCUCGUGACCGCAAGUACCCGAAUGGGUCGAGGCCAAACAGGGCUGCCGGUAAGGGAUACUGGAAGGCAACUGGUGCUGAUAAGCCGAUCUCACCAAAGGGCAGCAACAGGACUGUUGGGAUCAAGAAAGCUUUGGUGUUUUACUCCGGCAAGGCACCGAAAGGAGUGAAGACAGAUUGGAUCAUGCAUGAAUACAGGUUGGCUGACGUGAACCGCAGCGCCAACAAGGGAAGCCUACGGGUAUGCAGCGAAUGAUAACAUACAAUCUCCUCAAAAGGUGCAUGUAAUUAAUUAUAUAGUGCUGACGAAACAAUUCUUUGGAUUCAUGCAGUUGGAUAACUGGGUUCUUUGCCGGCUAUACAACAAGAAGAAUACCUGGGAGAAGACGAAGAUGCAGAAACAGGAGGAGACAUCCUUUGGAGAGACCAUGCAAUCAGUGGAUGAUGCACUGUCCGACAGCUUCAGGACACCAGAAUCAGAUGUAGAAAAUGAGGUCGUGUUGCCAGAUUUUGAUGAUCUAGGCUACCUAUCCCAAGCUUCUACUGGAGUGCAAGCAUUGAGCGCCUGCAAAACAGCUGCACAUCAGAUGAUCGAGAAGAGUCAGAAAGAAGACAGUGAGUGGUUUAUGGACUUGAAACUAGAUGAUUUGCAGAGCUCCUACACCAACUUCGGAUCAACACCCAUUUCAGAUGCAACGAACCAAGAUUACUACUUCCAAUCCUUUGUAUCUCCAUUGCUGAGGCCAAAUCAUACCAACAUGCGACAGUUCUGAAUUGGAUCAAUGUAAAUAGCUUAGCAGAAUACGACAAUGUAGUAGUUAGUAGAUCA